rnacentral:rRNA from 1 species
AUUGAACGCUGGCGGCAGGCCUAACACAUGCAAGUCGUGCGGAUGAAGGGAGCUUGCUCCUGGAUUCAGCGGCGGACGGGUGAGUAAUGCCUAGGAAUCUGCCUGGUAGUGGGGGAUAACGUCCGGGAACGGGCGCUAAUACCGCAUACGGCCUGAGGGAGAAAGUGGGGGAUCUUCGGACCUCACGCUAUCAGAUGAGCCUAGGUCGGAUUAGCUAGUUGGUGGGGUAAAGGCCUACCAAGGCGACGAUCCGUAACUGGUCUGAGAGGAUGAUCAGUCACACUGGAACUGAGACACGGUCCAGACUCCUACGGGAGGCAGCAGUGGGGAAUAUUGGACGAUGGGCGAAAGACUGAUCCAGCCAUGCCGCGUGUGUGAAGAAGGUCUUCGGAUUGUAAAGCACUUUAAGUUGGGAGGAAGGGUAGUAAGUUAAUACCUUGCUGUUUUGACGUUACCAACAGAAUAAGCACCGGCUAACUUCGUG